AUUGAACGCUGGCGGCAGGCCUAACACAUGCAAGUCGAGCGGAUGAAGGGAGCUUGCUCCUGGAUUCAGCGGCGGACGGGUGAGUAAUGCCUAGGAAUCUGCCUGGUAGUGGGGGAUAACGUCCGGAAACGGGCGCUAAUACCGCAUACGUCCUGAGGGAGAAAGUGGGGGAUCUUCGGACCUCACGCUAUCAGAUGAGCCUAGGUCGGAUUAGCUAGUUGGUGGGGUAAAGGCCUACCAAGGCGACGAUCCGUAACUGGUCUGAGAGGAUGAUCAGUCACACUGGAACUGAGACACGGUCCGGACUCCUACGGGAGGCAGCAGUGGGGAAUAUUGGACAAUGGGCGAAAGCCUGAUCCAGCCAUGCCGCGUGUGUGAAGAAGGUCUUCGGAUUGUAAAGCACUUUAAGUUGGGAGGAAGGGCAGUAAGUUAAUACCUUGCUGAUUUGACGUUACCAACAGAAUAAGCACCGGCUAACUUCGUG
rnacentral:rRNA from 1 species